UUAUAACCACAGCUUCUCGUCGUCUCAGAGCCCCGCCCUCUAUCUCACUGUCGGAGACUUGGUGACAAAUCUGAUCAUCAGGGUGGUGCUGGUCCACUUCCUCCUGAUCAUGGGGACCAUCUCCCUCUACUUCUACUGUCGGGCCAGUAGGGGGCGGAGCCGACUGAAGGCAUGCAACACACCAUGAGAUACAGCAACACAGCAACAGCAACCACCACAGGAACAUCCACAUCAGUCUCCACAUCAACCUCCACGUCCACAUCCAUGUCCACAUCCAAGUCCACGUUGCCAUGGAAACACCAGCCUUUGUCCCACUCUGGACCUGCUGACGUGUCUGAUAAACCUGUCAGGUUUCAUUUUUAUCUUUGUACAUAUUUGAGGUAUUUGUCUGGACUUCUGGUAUGAUUUUUGUUGUUGUUUUCAUCGCUGCCUUAGUUUUGUAUUGUUUUCAUUUUGUUCUUUUCCAGCUCAUACAUGAACUCUGCUCUGAAAGCAGCUGCAAACACUUGGAAAUCCUUCAUAUGGAUGAAUUCACCACUUUUCCUGGGCUGUUCCUUUAGUUUGACACCAGAGUUCUACUAGAGUUUGGAGUUUUUGUUCAGUCUUUCACUGUGCUUUUCUGUCUUUAUGUCAUUCUAGGUGUUUGUGAGUUUGUCCUGUAUUUCUGUGUCAGUAUUGUCAGGGCCAGUUCUAGCCAUUUUGGCACCCUAGGUGAGAUAUGAAUUUGGUGCCCCCCCUGACACACACACACAUAUAUGUAUAUAGGGGGGAGGGGUCAUGAAGAAGAGAUCCACAAAGCGUAAAAGGAGAUGCACAAAGCAGCCAGCAGUAAACCAGAUAGAAACAUAUAUAAACCAGAUAGAAGCAUAUAUAAACCAGAUAGAA